rnacentral:rRNA from 1 species
GCUAGGAUGAACGCUAGCUACAGGCUUAACACAUGCAAGUCGAGGGGCAGCAUGAUCGAAGCUUGCUUUGAUUGAUGGCGACCGGCGCACGGGUGAGUAACGCGUAUCCAACCUUCCCUAUAGUAGAGGAUAGCCCGGCGAAAGUCGGAUUAAUACUCUAUGUUUUUCCGAAGCAGACAUCUAAUUUGGAACAAAGGUUUACCGCUAUAGGAUGGGGAUGCGUCUGAUUAGGUUGUUGGCGGGGUAACGGCCCACCAAGCCUACGAUCAGUAGGGGUUCUGAGAGGAAGGUCCCCCACAUUGGAACUGAGACACGGUCCAAACUCCUACGGGAGGCAGCAGUGAGGAAUAUUGGUCAAUGGGCGAGAGCCUGAGCCAGCCAAGUAGCGUGCAGGAUGACGGCCCUAUGGGUUGUAAACUGCUUUUAUACGGGGAUAAAGUGAGGGACGUGUCCCUUAUUGUAGGUACCGUAUGAAUAAGGACCGGCUAAUUCCGUGCCAGCAGCUGC